GGGUGUUUCAUGACGUCUAUUGCGAGAAUGUGGUUUGAUUGGAAUGCUAUUGUCUCUGAAGCUGUAAGAAAUUGGGAGAAUUCGUUCUCUUUCCACAAUAUAUCCCAAAUGUGGUCACCUCGAGGAAGCUCUUUCAGGCUUUUGAAAGGUAGAGAAAUCCAUGGCUACUCAGUUCGUGCAGGACUCGGCAAAGAUGAAGCUAUUGGCGGUUCGGAGGGUGUUUGAAACAUUCCCCCGAAGGAUCAAAUUGCUUGCUCUUCAUUGGUUUUGGGAUAUGCUCAACACAAGUGCAUUCAAGUUGCCUUUCGCUAUUUCCAUUCAUAACCCAAAAAUAUAUGCUUUAACUAAUUGAACAUGUUCGAGUGAAACAUUACAAAAAAGUAAUUUGAAUAUGGAGUAUGGAGUUAAUUAGGGUGGGAAGAAAGACCUCUUUUUUCGCUAUUCCGCGAUCUGCUGGUGCGGGAAACUGAAAGAGGGAGAAGAACUUAUUAACAGUAUGGCAAUUGAAGGCUUCUUUCUUGCAGCUUGUAGAGUACAUGGAGAUAUUGAAAUUGGGAAAAUAGCAGCGAAAAAGGUGAUGGAGUUGAAGCCAUAUGGUACUGGUGCUUUUGUGAUGGGUGCAGGAAAGUGUAAAAUGCUCUCAUAAUUUGGUCUCAACUUGUUACUUGUGUUCAAGUUUUAAAGUCAUGUCGUGAA